ensembl:lncRNA
AUGGCUGAAACCAUUUUGCAUUCAGAGACACAGGCCGGGCAGCAGGAGAACGGGGGACACCGGGACACCCUGCGCGUCACCUUCCCUUGCAGGAUCCCUCUCCCACCCCUCUCCCUUCCCUGCCCGGUGCAUCACCUACCUGUGGGGCCGGGCGGAGGGACCGGGGCAGCCGCUGCUGAUCGUGGUGGAGCUGGAAGCAUGGAGGAUGAUGCACGGGUGGAGAGAGAGGCUGCCUCAUUUUUCCCUGGCCCUGGCAGCCCCUUCUUGCCCCCAGGGCUGGGAGCUGGCAGGGUUGGGCUGCAGGACACAGCUGGAUGCAGGGUGGUGGGGGGAGACCCCCCCUGGGCUCCCCUGUGGCCUGGGAUGGGUGCGGGGAUGCUCGCCCCGCCGGCGGCAGGGAGCCCAUUUGCAGGGGUGGCGCUGCCCAAGGAGGGGCGCAGGGCUGGGGGCGAUGAACCCCCGGCAGGUCCCGGCCCCGGGAUGUUGGGCAGGGGGCUGCCAGCAGCGGGGCCAGCAGGAGGAAGGACAGAGAGAGACCCCGGGCUGCCCCCCGCCAGGGGCUCAGUGGGGGUCUCCAAGGCUCCCCCAGCUCCUCCUGGUCCUACAGAGACACCGGGACGUGGUUCCCCAGGCACAGGGCCAUCGGUGUCCCCUCUGCCUUCAGCCACCGAGGGUCUGGGGGGGACCGCGGGGCCCCCAGGCUGGAGAGGAAGAAGGAAGGGGGCAGCCCCCCCUACGGCAGCCCCCAGCUCUCCCCGUGUCCCCGCGCCAAACUCACUUCCAGAAACCGGAGAGGAAACCGGCGGGGGGCCCGCGGCCGCCCCCGCUGCUGCAUCCUCUCUCUCUGAGGCUGGAGGCAGAGCAGGGGCAGCGUUGGCGGGCGCGGGGGCACGUGGGGACUCUUCUCCCAAAGGUGCUGCCAUCCCUGAGGACAUUUCAUAUUCGGGAGACCCUGGCAGAGCGCUCCCAGCACCUGCCACCACUGCAGCCAGUGGGGAGGCCAGUGCCAAGGGGCUGCUCCCACUUGGGGUGCUGGAGGCAGAGGGGGGGCCCCCGUUGGGUGCUGGUGCUGAGCUCCCCCCCACGCCCCCAGCAGAGGCAGCCAGCAAGGGGCUGGAGGCAUCCGGGGCCACCGGGACCAGGGGCUGCACCUCCCGGGGAGAGGACAGGACGGAGGGGGCCAGCACCCCUGAUGUGAUCUGGAUGAUGGCCCCUGCCCCGUCUGCUGUGCCGGCACCAGGGGCAGGUGCCCAAGGGGCCGAGGCUCCCGUUUCUCCUCCGGCCAGCUGCACCACAUUGGUUUGGCUCAGGUUUGCAUCAGAGAGCCCGAGGUCGGCGCCGCUCUGGAUGCCGGGGGCAGGCACAGGGGUCUCCUCGUUGCCUUGGGGGCCAGCAGCCUCCGGGUCUGGGCUCAGUCCUACACCAGCUCCACCAGCUCCAGGACCUCCUGCUCCCUCAGCAGCUCCACCGCUUGUCGGGGCUGAAGAAGAUCCCUCGGGAGAUGGGGAGGGAGAUGCAGAGUGCAGCACGGCUCCCGUUCCUCCACCAGAGGCUCCAGCUGCUCCGUCCAGGUCCUGGGACACCCCCGGGGACUCCCCAUUUCCAGCCCCAGCCCCUUCACCCCCGCCUCCUCCUGCAGGAGGAUGGGCGCCAGGACCAGCACCCAGGGCAGGCUGCACAGCACUGGGAGCAGCGUCCACUCCUCCCAGGGCACCUGGGCUGGCUGAAUCCAAAACAGAGGGUGCUGUGAGCAUGUCCCCGGGAGAGGCAGGACCGGGCAGGGACACGGCACCAGGCAGUAGAUCCGUCCCAGCCUCCAUCCCAGCGCCAGGAGAGGAGCUCAGGGAUGGCUCAGACCAAGUCCCACUGCCUCCCAGCACCUGCCCCUCUGUUCCUGGCACCCCCAGGUCUGCGCCAGGCUGGACCCCGAGGGUGGGUGAUGGGGGUCCCACGGGUCCAUGCGAUGCUGAGCCGGGGGCAUCCAGUGCUGAACUGAAGCCUGUGCCUGGUCCCUCAGCCCCAGGGAGAGCUGCUCCUGUGGGAGCACCAGCUGCCAUCCCCCACGGCUGUGACCCCACAAGGAAUGGGGAUAUGGGGGCUCCCUGGGCAGCACCGAGGUUGGGGUUUGCUGCCAUCUCUGCCCCAUCGCUGGUCCCAAACGCAGCUCCAGACGCAGCAGGUGGAGGUGGGAAAGCAACACCAGGGGCUUGGCUUGGUCCCAGUCCUUCAGCCCCCGAGAGGUCGGGCUCCAGCCCCACGUAG